CAAAACAUGGCUUCUCGAAUUUUGUUUAUGUGAAGUUGUACCUGCCCAGUGAAUUUUUAACGGCCGCGGUACUCUGACCGUGCAAAGGUAGCAUAAUAAUUUGCCUUAUAAUUGAAGGCUGGAAUGAAUGGUUUGUCAAGGAUAAAACUGUCUCUAUAAAAUUUUAUAGAAUUUUAUUUUUAGGUGAAAAAGCCUAAAUUUUAUUAAAAGACAAGAAGACCCUAUCGAGCUUUAAAAAACUUAAUAAAUAUUAACAACUAAUUAGAAGUUUAAUUAUAAAAAAUUUUGGUUGGGGCAACCUAGGAGUAAAUAAAGCCUCCUUUUUUUAAAAGACUGUUUUGUUAGGAUCCAAAAAUUUUGAUCAAAAGAAAUAGUUACCGUAGGGAUAACAGCAUUAUUUUUUUUGAGAGCUCUUAUCGAAAAAAAAGUUUGUGACCUCGAUGUUGGACCAGAAUAUCCUGAAGAUGUAGAAGUCUUCAAGGGUUGGUCUGUUCGACCAUUAAAAUUCUACGUGAUC
rnacentral:rRNA from 1 species